AAUGUGAACCUCGUUAAUUCCACGUAAGAUGAAAUCGUCGUAAAGGCCUCGUAAGCUUACGUGGAAUUACCGAGACCCGUCUUUUAUUUCCUCGUAAUUUCCUCGUAGGUUUACGAGGUUUUAACGAGAUAUUUUGUCUAAACCCCUAAACCAACCCCAAACCCCAUCUUUCUUCUAUUUUGUCUAAAUCCCAAACUCCAAACCCCAUUAAUAAUUUUAUAAUUUUCAAAAGAUUAUAUUUUCAAACCUUCAAAAGAUUAUAAUUUUGUUGCAAAAUAAAUAAUUUGAUUUUGUAUAAGUUUAUAUUAGAAAGAAGAGAUUGAUAUUAGAAGUUAAAGAAUUGUGGUUUUAAAUUUUGAGUUUUGAAAUUUGGAAUGAAGAGUAGAAGAUAAGAAAGAUGGUGUUUGUGGUUUGGGAUUUUAGAUUUUCGGCGUUUAGAAAGCAUACCUCGUUAAUUCCUCGUAGUUAACGAGGAAAUAACAACGGAAAAAAAAAAUGCGAGCCUCGUUAAUUCCACGUAAGACGAAAUCGUCGUAUAUGCCUCGUAAGCUUACGUGGAAUUACCGAGGCCCGUCUUUUAUUUCCUCGUAAUUUCCUCGUGGGUUUACGAGGUUUUAACGAGAUAUUUUGUCUAAACCCCUAAACCAUAAACCCCAAACUCCAUCUUUCUUCUAUUUUGUCUAAAUCCCAAACUCCAAACCCCAUUAAUAAUUUUAUAAUUUUCAAAAGAUUAUAUUUUCAAAUCUUCAAAAGAUUAUAUUUUUGUUUCAAAAUAAAUAAUUUGAUUUUGUAUAAGUUUAUAUUAGAAAAAAGAGAUUGAUAUUAGAAGUUAAAGAAUUGUGGUUUUAAAAUUUGAGUUUUGAAAUGUUAAGAAGAUUAUAUUUUCAAAUCUUCAAAAGAUUAUAUUUUUGUUGCAAAAUAGAAAAUUUAAAUAAAUAAUUUGAUUUUGUAUAAGUUUAUAUUAGAAAGAAGAGAUUGAUAUUAGAAGUUAAAGAAUUGUGGUUUUAAAUUUUGAGUUUUGAAAUGUUAAGAAGAUAUUGAGGUUAAAAGGAAGAUAUGUUUGUAAUAUAUGAAGUAGAAUAUAAGAAAGAUGGGGUUUAGGGUUUGGGGUUUGGGGUUUCUGAUUUUAGAGGUUUAGAAAUUUACCUCGUUAAAAACUCGUAAUUUACGAGGCAUUUACGAGGACCAGAAAGACGGGCCUCGCUUAUUCGUCGUUGGAUUUAGGACGGGCCUCGCAAUUUCCUCGUAAGUUUACGAGGAUUUUACGAGGAAAUAAAAGACGGGCCUCAUUAAUUCUUCGUAAAUCUACAAGAAAAUUGCGACGCCUUCGUAAGUUAUAUAUACAACCCAAACCUCACAAUCUCCAUUCGUCCCAACUUCCUCUCCAAUUCCUCUCCAUUUCCUCUCCAACUCCUCUCCCAUUCCUCUCUCCUUCGAAAUGGUUCGCAAGAACAUGCUUACUGCUCACUACAGAGACAUGUUCGGUGAGUCUGGUAGUCAGUUAGACUCUCCAGGUUCUUCUUCAGGUGCCGGCGGUUCCGUGUGAGUGGACUCGAGGCCUUCAUCGACGUUAUAGCGGCCACAAAUCCGGAAUGGGAAACUUUAUUGAGGAACAUGAAACAACAAAAUCUCAUUCCAGACGAGUCAUCGGGCACACAUGACGAGGAGGAGCAAGGAAUUCUACGAGGCGAUGAACGGGCCUUAGUUUUUUUCGGUUUAUGUAUUAUAAAAUCCAAAACUUAUUUAUAUAUAAAAUAUUUUGUUGCA